AUUGAACGCUGGCGGCAGGCCUAACACAUGCAAGUCGGGCGAGCCGCGGCCGGGUGCGUAAUGUAUGUGGAUCUUCCUGAUGGCGGGCGAUCCCUACUGGAAACGGUAGCUACUACCGCCUCCCAUCACAUGACCCCAUAUGGGAUUAGCUAGUAGGUGAGGUAACGGCUUACCUAGGCGACGAUCCCUAGCUGGUCUGAGAGGAUGAUCAGCCACACUGGGACUGAGACACGGCCCAGACUCCUACGGGAGGCAGCAGUGGGGAAUAUUGCACAAUGGGCGCAAGCCUGAUGCAGCCAUGCCGCGUGUAUGAAGAAGGCCUUCGGGUUGUAAAGUACUUUCAGUCGGGAGGCGGUACCGAAAGAAGAAGCACCGGCUAACUCCGUGCCAGCAGCCGCGGUAAUAC
rnacentral:rRNA from 1 species